AGCCCCAGCCCAGGCUCAGUCCUGUUUCUCCCUAAAGCCCGUGAAAUUUGCAUUGAUUCAGUGCUAAAAAUAAGUUGUCCGUUGCUCACCCAGUAGACUGGGAUACCCUGUGUGCCUCUAGCAUUGCAGAUCUUGAAUGCUGACUACCUGAGUCACCAUUUUCAAUUAAUGUACAGAAUCCCUUUUGUCCAUUGUCCCAUGUUAGAACAAAGAAUCCACACACCCUUUGCAUUGUUAGGAAAUGUUAAUUAAUUGAGAGCUUUCAUAAGUCUAGUUACUCAAUCUUCUCAAUCCCCUGUCCUUAAGGAAGGAGAAACCAUUCCUCUGUCAUUGCUGCAGUAGUCACAAUCCCAGUUUUCUGGACAGUGCAUAUAUACUGUGCUGACCACCUAAACUCUUUGCACUGAGUGAAAUUCUAAUUGUUCAUAAUCCUGCCCAUUGGAUUAGAUCCCAGUCAAAAACCCUUUUGCAUUCAGCAGGGGGCACAGAAAACCCAGAUUUUUUGUUCCACAGUUAAUGUGCUCAGUCCCAAUUGUCAUAGCCUUGUCCAUUAAACAAAGGCAUCCUACCAAUUUUGCUCUGCUUUUCGGGAGUCCUGCUGUUCUUGGACAAUUAAAGUACCAAACUGUACAUCGUCUUCCCCAUUAAUCAAUGACCCUCCAUCCCAUUCGCAUUGCUAUUAGGCAGUGCUGACUACCUGAGACCAUCUUCCUCGAAUUAUUAAUGAGAAGAAUCCCAAUUGUUCAUUACACAAGUCCUCUGCAACUUUUUUGCACUACAGCAGAAGUGCUCAUCCUCAAAGUCCUUUACUUUGGUAUAUUAAUGGGUACAACUACUGUUAGUCAUGGUCCUGCCUAACAGGUUAAGACCCGCCCAUGCUCUUCAUUGCUCUUAGGCAGUUCAGACUACCUAUCACUUUGUAUUAAUAUGUAAAAUCCUCAUUUCCCAUGGUCCCAUCCAUUAGCCUAGGAUAUCCCUUACUUCUGUGCCAUUUCUUCUGAGGAGUUCUGAUUACCCAAAGUCCCUUCUCUUAUUAAACAAUUGAUGUGCAUAAUUACAUAUAUCUAUGGUCCCAUGCAAUAAAAAAUGAAAUCCCACACUUGGUGGACUGCUGCUAGGUCAUGCAGAUUAUUCAAGAACUCAGCUUUUGGACAGUUAAUUUGCACAGUUGCAGUUGUCCAGAGUCCUAUCCAUUUUAAUGGGCCACUGUAUCCCAUUUGCAUGCUAUAUGGGUCAGACUCUCAAGGAACCUUCUCUUGAAUUGAUAAUGUUCAUAGUUGCAUUUGUCAAUGUCCUGUGAAUUAGUCACACCCACCCACUUUGUAUUCCAGCAGAGGACACUUACUACUUAAGAACUCUGCACUAGGACAUUUUAUGUGCACAAACCUAAUUGAUUACGCCUGAGCCUUUUGUAUCAGGAACCCUGCACCAUCUUUACUUCUGAAAGGUGCUAAUUAUCUAAGGCCAUUUCCUGACACUGUUCAGGUGCAAAAUUGCAGUCCCAAUGACUCCUUUCUUUAAACUAGAAUCCCAUCCCCAACUAACUGCCUUUGCAUUACAGCAGAGGAUACUUCCGGCAGUUAAUGGGCUUGAUUGCAGCUACAGACCCCUCUGUUAGUCUAGCACCAAUUCCCCUCCUAGAUGAUUUGCAUUACUACAGGCAGUACAAGGGACUGAUAAUGGACUUAGACAGCUACAGUCCCUUAUGUUAACCUAGGAACCCAUCCCCACCUAACUCCCUUUGAGUGAGGAGGGUACUGCGGAGGGUACUUGGAACUGUUAAUGAGCUUUAUUACAGCUACAGUUCCUUUUGUCACUCUAGAAUCCAUUCCCUUCCUACUCAAUUUGCAUUACCACAAAGGGCACAAGGGACUGUUAAUGUGCUUAAGUGGAGCUACAGUCCCUUAUGUUAACCUAGGAACCCAUGCCCCCCAACUCCUUUUGCAUUAAUGCAGAGCCUACAUGGACUUGUUAAUGGGCUUAAUUGUACUGCCGUCCCUUCUGUUAGUCUAGAAUCCCAUCCCUCCUACUCAAUUUGUGUUACCCCAGAAUGUAUGAGAGGCUGUUACUGUGCUUAAAUGCAUCUAUAGUCUCUUAUGUUUACCUAUGAUCCCAUUCCUGUCUAAAUCUCUUUGCAUGACUGCAGAGGGUACUUGGGACUGUUAAUAGGCUCAAUUAGAGCUACAGUCCCUUCUGUUAGCAGAGUCCCAUGCCCUCCUACUCUAUUUGUAUUACCAAAAGGGGGACAAUGGACUGUUAAUGGGCUUUAUUGCAGAUACAGUCCCUUCUGUUAAUCUAGAAUGUUUCCUUCUUCUUGGAUUUGCAUUACCACAGAGGGUACAGGGACUGUUAAUGUCCUUAAAUGCAGCUGCAGUCCCUUAUGUUAACCUAGGAUCCCAUCCCCAACUAUCUCCCUUUUCAUUACUGCAGAGCCUACAUAGAACUUGCUAAUGGGCUUAAUUGUACUACUGUCCCUUAUCUUAGCCUAGGAUCCCAUCCCCUCCUAAUUCCCUUUAGAUCACCAAAGAGGACACAAGGGACUGUUAAUGUGCUUUUAAAUGCAUGUACAAGCUCCCUCCCCCUGUUUUUUAACCUAGGAUUCCAUUCCCACCUCACUCUCUUUUCAUGACUGCAGAGGGUACUUGGGACUGUUAAUGGGUUUUACUGCAGCUACAGUCCCUUCUGUUAGUCUAGAUUCCCAUUCACUCCUACAUGAUUUACAUUAACACAGAAGGCACAAAGGACUGCUAAUGUGCUUAGAGCUACAGUCCUUUAUGUUAAUCUAGGAUGCCAUUGCCACCUAACUCCCUUUUCAUUACUGCAGAGCCUACAUGGACUUGUUAAUGGGCUUAAUGGCACUGCUGUCCCUUCUGUUAAUCUAGGAGUCCAUCCCACCUACUCAAUUUGCAUUAUCCCAGAGUGUACAAGAGACUGUUACUGUGCUUAAAUGCAUCUACAGUCUCUUACGUUUACCUAUGACCCCAUUCCCACCUAACUCCCUUGCACUACCACAGAGGGUACAAUGGACUGUUACUGUGCUUAAAAGCAGCUACAGUUCCUUAUGUUUAUCUAGGACCCUAUUCCCGCCUGACUCCCUUUUAAUGACUGCAGAGGGUACUUGGGACUGUUAAUGGGCUUUACUGCAGCUACAGUCCCUUCUGUAAAUCUAGAAUCAGUUUCCUUCUUACUGGAUUUGCAUUACCACAUAGGGUAACUGGGACUGUUAAUGUGCUUAAAUGGAGCUAUAGUCCCUUAUGUUAACCUAGGAUCCCAUUCCCACCUAACUUCCUUUUCAUUAAUGCAGAGCCUAUAUGGGACUUGUUAAUGGGCUUAAUUGCACUGCUGUCCCUCCUAUUAGUCUAGGAGCCCAUUCCUCUUACUUGAUUUGCAUUACCCUAGAGUGUAGAGACUAAUAUCCUUAAAUGCAUCUACAGUCUCUCACGUUUACCGAUGAUCCCAUUCCCAUUUAAAGCUCUUUGAAUGACUGCAGAGGGUGCUUGGGGGAGUUAAUGGGCUCAAUUAGAGCCAUAAUCCCUUCUGUUAUUCGAGAUUCCCAUGCCCUCCUACUCCAUUUGCAUUACCAAAGGGGAUACAAGGAAAUGUUAAUGUGCUUAAAUGCAAUUACCUAGGAUCCCCUCCCCACCUAACUCCCUUUUCGUGAUUGCAGAGAGUACUUGGGACUGUUAAUGGGCUUUGUUGCAGGUACAGUCCCUUCUGUUAUCUAGAAUCUGUUCCAUCCUACUCCAUUUGCAUUAACACAGAGUACAGGGACUGCUAAUGUGCUUAAAUAGAGCUACAGUCCUUUAUGUUACUCUAGGAUCCCAUUGCCACCUAACUCCCUUUUCAUUACUGCAGAGCCUACAUGGAUUUGUUAAUGGGCUUUAUUACACUGCUGUCCCUUCUGUUCGUCUAGAAUCCCAUCCCUGUACUCAGUUUGCAUUACCCCAGAGUACACGAGAGACUGUUACUGUGCUUAAAAGCAGCUACAGUCUCUUAUGUUUACCUAUGAUCCCAUUCCCACCUAACUCCCUUUUAAUGACUGCAGAAAGUACUUGGGACUUUUAAUGGGCUUAAAUGCAGCUACAGUCCCCUGUCUUAACCUAGGAUCCCAUCCCUAAUUAUCUCCCUUCCAUUACUGCAGAGCCUACAUAGGACUUGUUAAUGGCCUUAGUUGCACUACUGUCCCUUCCGUUAGUCUAGGAUCCCAUCCCUACCUAAUUCCUUUUAGGUUACCAAAGAGGAUACAAGGGACUGUUAAUAUGCUUAAAUGUAGAAACAUUUGCUUUUUUUAGGUAGGAUCCUAUUCUCACCUAACUCCCUUUGCAUUACCACAGAGGGUACAAGGGACUGUUACUGUGCUUAAAAGCAGCUACAGUCACUUAUAUUAACCUAGGAUCCCAUCCCCAACUAUCUCCCUCUUCAUUACUGCAGAGCCUACAUAGAACUUGCUAAUGGGCUUAAUUGUACUGCUGUCCCUUAUCUUAGCCUAGUAUCCCAUUAGAGCUAAUUACCUCCUAAUUCCCUUUAGAUUACCAGAGGACACAAAGGACUGUUAAUGUGCUUUUAAAUGCAAGUGAAAUCUCUCCCCGCCCUCCUUUAAACCUAGGAUUCCAUUCCCACCUCACUCUCUUUUCAUGACUGCAGAGGGUACUUGGGAUUGUUAUUGGGCUUUAUUGCAGCUACAGUCCCUUCUGUUACCCUAGUUGCCCAUCCACUCCUACAUGAUUUGCGUUACCACAGGAUCUACAAGGGACUGUUAAUGGGCUUAAAAACAGCUACAGCUCCUUAUGUUAACCUAGGAUUUCAUCCCCACCUAACUCUCUUUUCACAACUGCAGAGGGUACUUGGGACUGUUAAUGGGCUCAAUUAGAGCUACAGCCCCUUCUGUUAGUCCAGAUUCCCAUGCCCUCCUACUCAAUCUGCAUUACCAAAGGGAGUACAAUGGAUUGUUUAUGUGCUUAAAUGGAGCUACAGUCCCUUUUGUAACCUAAGAUUCCAUUUCCACCUAACUCCCUUUCCUGACUGCAGAGGGUACUUGGGACUGUUACCGAGCUUACUGUAGCUGCAUUCCCUUCUGUUAGUGUACAUUCCCAUCCUCUCUUACACAGUUUGCAUUACCACAAACUGUAUAACUAUUAAUGUGCUUAAAUGCAACUACAGUCCCUUAUGUUAACCUAGGAUCCCAUUCCCACCUAACUCCCUUUUCAUUAAUGCAGAGCCUACAUGGGACUUGUUAAUGGGCUUAAUUGCACUGCCCUCCCUUCUAUUAGUCUAGAUUCCCAGGCUGUCCUCGAUUUGCAUUACCAAAGGGGGUAUAAUGGACUGUUAAUGUGCUUAAAUGCAGCUACAGUCCCUUUUUUUUUUUUUUUUACCUAGGAACCCAUUCCUACCUAACUCCCUUUUCAUGACUGCAGAGGGUACUUGGGACUGUUAAUGGGCUUAAUCACAGCUACAGUCCCUUCUCUUAGUCUAGAUUCCCAUCCCCUCCUACAGAUUUACAUUACCACAGAGGAUACAAGGGACUGUUAAUGUGCUUAAAUGCAGGUAUAGUCCCCUUUAUUGUUUCACCUAGGAUCCCAUUCCCAGCUAAUCCCCUUUGCAUUACCACUGACUGUACAAGGGACUGUUAACAUGCUUAAAUGCAAUUAUAGUCCCUUACGGUAAUCUUGGAUCCCACCCCCAACUAACUCACUUUGUAUGACUGCAGAGAAUACUUGGGACUUUAAAUGUGAUUGAUCGCAGCUACAGUCCUUUCUGUUAGUCUAGGAUCCGUUCCCUUCCUUCUUGAUUUGCAUUACCAGAGGAGGGUAGAAGGGAUGGUUAAUGUACUUAAAUGGAUCUACAGUCCCUUUUGAUAACCAGGAUCCCAUUUCCACCUAACUCCUUUUGCACUACCACAGAGGCUACAAAGUACUGUUGAAGUGCUUAAAUGCAGCUACAGUCCCUUACGUUAACCUAGGAUCUUGUUCCCACCUAACUCCCUUUGCAUGACUGCAGAGGGUAUUUGGGACUAUUAAUGGGCUUUACUGAAGCCACAGUCCCUUAGUCUAGGAUCCCAUCCCCUCCUACAGGAUUUACAUUACCACGGAGGGUACAAGGGACUGUUAUGGUGCUUAAAUGCAGGUAGAGUUCAAGGAUCCCAUUUCCACCUGCCUCCAUUUGCAUUACCAAAGAGGCUACCAGGGACUGCUAAUGUGUUUAAAUGCAGGUACAGUGCCUUGAGUUAACCCCGAAAUCCCACCUAACUCCCUUUUCAUGACUGCAGAUGGUAAUUGGGACUGUUAACAAGCUUUAAUGCAGCUACAGUUUCCCUCUUAGUCUAGAAUCCCAUUUCCUCCUACUUGAUUUAUAUUACCACAGAGUGUACAAGGGAUUUUUAAUGUGCUUAAAUGGCACUACAGUCCCUUAUGUUACCUAUGAUCCCAUUCCCACCUAACUCCCUUUGCAUGACUGCAGAGCGUACUUGGGACUGUUAAUGCGUUUACCUGCCUAUACAGUCUCAUCUGUCCGUCUAGAUUCCCAUGCCCUCCUACUCAAUUUGCAUUAUAAAAGAGGGUACAAAGGACUGUUAAUGUGCUUAAAUGCAGUUACAGUCCCUUUGUAAGGUGGGAUCCCAUUCCCACGUAACUCCCUUUGCAUCAUCCCAGAGGCUACAAGGGACUUUCAAUGUGCUUAAAUGCAGGUACAGUCCCUUAUGUUAACUUUGAACUAUAUUCCCACCUAACUCCCUUUACAUCACUGCAAAGGGUACUUGGGACUCUUAAUGGGCUUCAUUGAAGCUGCUGUCCCUUCUGUUGGUCUAGAUUCCCUUUCCCUCCUUGAUUUGCAUUACCACAGUGUACAAUGGACUGUUACUGUGCUUGAAUGCAGGUACAGUCCUUUUUUUUUAACCUAGGAUCCCAUUCCCACCUAACUCCCUUUGCAUUUCUGCAGAGGGCACUUGGGACUAUUUUAAUUGGACUCCUGUCCCUUCGUUAGUCUGGGAUCCCAUCCCCUCCUACUUGAUUUGCCUUUCCACAGAGGCUACAAGGGACUGUUAAUGUGCUUAUUAAAUGCAGGUACAAUCCCUUAUGUUAACCUAGGAUCCCAUUCCCACCUAUCUCCUUUUGCAUGACUGCAGAGGUAUUUGAGACCUUUAAAGUGGUUAGUGGCAGCUGUAGUCCCAUCUGUUAAGUGUACUUUCUCAAGCACUCCAAUUCCCUCACGUAACUUGGGAACAUAUUUCGGACUGUCACUGUGCUCGUUUUUUGGCUGUGGUCCCUUUGUAAUUCUAGGAUCUCAUCCCUUUCUACUCAUUUGUAUUACUUGUUGGUAUUGGGACAGAAAGGUGCUUAAAUGCAGCUGUAAUCUGUUUUGUUAAUCUAGGAUUCCAUGCCCUCUAACUCCCUUAACAUUACCCAGGAGUGUAUUUGGGACUGUUGAAGUGCUUAAUUGCAUCUGUGGUCCCUUCUGUUAGUCUCACUUCCCAUGCCCUCUUACUCCCUUUGCAUUACAGCAGAGGGCACUUGGGACUAUUAAAGUGUUUAAUUGCAGCUGUGGUCCCUUCUCUUAGUCUGGGGUCCAUCCCCUCCAGCUUUGUUUGCAUUACCACAGAAGGUACUUGGAUCUGUGAAUGUGUUUAAAUGCAGAUGUGGUCCCUUUUGUUAGUUUUGGAUCCCAUGACUCCCUUUACAUUACCUGGGAGGGCAUUUGGGACUGUCAUGAUGGUAAUUGCACCUGUGUUCCCUUCUGUUGGUCUAGAAUCCCGUUACCUCCUACUCCCUUUGCAUUACAUGGGAGCGUUUUUGGGACUCUUAAGAUGCUUAACUGCAACUAUGGUCCUUUCUGUCAGUCUAGUUUCCAGUCCCUUUCUACUCUCUUUGCAUUACCACAGAGGGUACUUGGGACUGUUGUGGUGCAUCCCAUCCUCUCACACCCUGUCAGCAUUACAGCAUAGGGUCCUGAACACCAAGGCCCCUUCUUUUCACUGUUAAUGCACAAUUGCAUUUGUCCUUCUUCCUCUGCAGUAUAUAAAGACCUCACUAAUUUCCCUUGUAUUCAGUGGUGGAUGCCCUUUACUCAAGACUUUUGUACUAGAAUAAAGUGACCCAUGGUAAUUGACCACAAAUAUAUCUUUCACUUAAGUCCCUUGUACUCUCUUUGUUUUAUAAGAAGAUGUAUUAAUUACCUCCGUUACUUUUUCUGGGAGUAUUUACAUGCAAAAUUCCAGUGUUCAAGGCCCCUCUCUUUAAAUUAAUAUCCCUCCCUUUCUGUAUUAUAUCAGGGGAUGUUAGUGACUCAGAGUCCUUCUCUUGGGACUCAUUGUGCAUGUGCCCUCAUGACAAGCUAAUAUCUUGAGUUCUUAGUAUUAUAGGAGGGACUACUGACUAGUUUCUCUUUUGGACAGUUAAUGUGCAAAAUUACACUAGGAUUCCAUCACAUUUCACCUCCUUUGCAUCAGGAGUCCUGAUCAACUGUGGCUGCUUUUCCUCUAGAGUAUAAAUGUGCAUAAUUUCAGUAACCCAUGCUCCCUUCUGUUAGAUUAGGAUCCCAUUUCCUUGCCCCAUUUACGUUACUGCGGGGGCUUCUGACUAGCCAAGAUUCUUUUUCUUGGACUGUUAAUGUGUAUACUUACAUUUGCUCCUGUACCUGUACACCAGGUAAGGACCCUCUCCAUUCUAUUUAUAUUCCAACAGGAGGUGCCUACUACUCAAGAUCUUACACACUACUGCAGUUAAUGUGCACAAUCUUAGUUGUCUUGUAUACAUUCUCAGUUGUCCACAACUGUGCUUUUUAGAUCAGGACUCCACUUAUUGAAACACAGGUUACUUACUACUUUAAAGCCCUUGUUUUGGGACUGUGACUAUGUGUAAUUAAAAUUGUCCAUGGUCCUUUGAGUUAACUUGUGUCCCUGACUCUUUUCACACUCUCUUUGCUUUACUGCAUGGGGUACUGUUCACUUAAGGCCCCUUUCUCAAAUACGUGUAAUGACAAUUACAUUAGGAUCCUUCCCCUUCAAACCCCUUAGAAGUACCACAAAGAUUUUGACCCCUAAGUCCCAUUUCUUGUCCUGUUACUGUAUUUGUCUGGGUUCCUGUGCACUAGACAAGGACACCUCUCUAUUCCCUGUCCUUCCAGCAGGAAGUGCCCCCUCCACAGGACUGUUAAAUUUGGACAGUCAAGGUGCACAGUUGUAACUGACCACAACCAGUCACCUUGGACAUUAAUGUGCAUAACUGCACAUGGCUCAUCCCAUAUGGAUAAGAUCCUAUCCUCUCAGACCCCUUUUGUAGUACAGCAGGGGUAAUGAUCACUAAGGCCUCUUUUUAUGGCUUGUUAUUGUGCAUAAUUGCAUUUGUGCAUGUUCCUGUACAGUUGAUGGGGGCACCUAUCUCCCCACUCCCUUUGUCUUUUAGCAGGGAGUGCCCGCUACUUUAAGAUCCUUAUAUUUGUACAAGGUAUACGAUUUUAAUUGACCACACCAUGUCCCUUCGACAUUAAUGUACAUAACUGCAACUUAGUUCAUCUUAUCCUGUUGCCCUCCAUUUGCAGUAUAUCAGGGUUGCUGACCCCUAAAUCCCCAUUCCUUGGCCUGUUAAUGUGCAUAUUUGCAUUUGGUUCUUGGGCAAUAGACAAGGAUCCCCUCCUCCCCCACAUUUCCUAUGCCUUCCAGUAGGUUGUGCCCACCACCAAGACCUUUCUAUUUGGACAGUUAAUGUGCAGAAUUGCAGUUUUUCACAACCCUGUUACUUCUAGGACUAUUUUAUCUCCUUUGUAAUACUGCAGGGGAUACUGUUUUCCCCCAAGGUCCCUUCUAGUGGACCGUUAAUAUACAUAAUCGAAAUUGUUGUCUUUAUCAGUAGACUAAUGUCAUAUCCCCUCAGCUAACUAUCAUGACCUCAGCUCUUGGACAAUUAAUAUGCACCAAUAACAUAUCAAAAGUACGAUCAUUAGAUAGGAUCCCUGUACCCUCACUGUAUACAUCAGGGGUACUGACUAAGGCCCCUUUUUUGGACUGAUAAUGUGAAUAUUUGCAAUUAUCUAUUCUCCCUUCUUUCUAGAGUCGGAUAGCAUCCCUUUGCACCCCCUUUGCAUUACUGCAGGGGCUGCUAAUGACACAAAACUUCUACUGGGACUGCUGAUGAGCACAAUGGCAUUUAGCAAUGGGUUUUUCCUCCCUGGCUUUGUUAGGCAAGCAUUCCCAGCUCCAACUUCCCAUGGCAUAAUAAAGUAUAAACACUGCAGUAUGCUGUGAACUUGUCCAUCAAACAACGACCGAUACUCCCACUUCUUUUGCACUGGCUCCAGUGUAUCAAACUCCAAGUAGUCAUAGUCUUGCCAUUAUCUUCCCUCUCCAGACCACUUGCCUGCCCUUGGACCCUUCUUACGGAAUAUUAAUGCUCACAAUUUCAGGUGUCCAUGUAUCCAGAUAAGAUUGUGCUCUCUUGCCCCUCCUGCUCCUGCCCUGCCCCUUUUGCAUAGUUGAUGGGGAAUGUUGACUGAGCAAAAUGCUUUUCUCUUGGACUUAAAACGUUAACAAUCUCAGAUGUCAUUGUUUUGCCCAUUUUGAAUUUCUGUAAUACCUUGGUUGCACUUUCUUUGGUCCGGCCCGUUAGACAUGGACCCUUCCACUUCCUUCUUUGCAUUACUUCUGAGUAGUGCUGACCUCCCACAACCCCUUUGGUGUUAUUAACACAGUAUUAAUUGUCCAGUUUUUUAGCCCAUCAGCCCAAGAUCUCCCUACCACUUUGAUGUUGUGUUUGUGCAGUAUUGACUACCAAAAGCAGGCCUGAACUAGGUGGCUGGGCCUUCACUCCUUUUCCUGCAUUUGUCAAUGAUCCCAGUUCCAAUUAUUUUUACAUUCUGGGGACAGGAACCAUUCCUGCCCCCCUCUUACUGCUUUACUAGUUAAAAUGCCCAAGGCAAGUCAGACCCAAGGGAACUGGAUUGCUACCCUUUAUUUUGGGUUUUCAUUAUACAUAAGUAUCAAUUGAAAAUUGUCUCCCCAGGAAGGAAGUUUAGCACUAUCUGUGCAUUCUUCCUUUCAAAGCAGAUUGCCUGGCUAAGACUCUCUCCUCUCUUCUUGUAUAUUGCCAUUGUAUAGUGUCAACUGCCAAGAUACAACCAAAAAGUUGCUGUUAAUUUUUUAUGUUGUAAGGAAGAUUGCAAGGUAGAAUUGAUAACCUGGUCAUUGAAAUUUUGAAGUCUAAAAACCUAUUUAUACCAUGUACCUGAUGACCAGUGUCUCUCAUUUUACUAAGGGUGGUGGGUCUGUGGAUAGACCACUGUGACUUUGAUAUUUUAGUAUGAUCAAAGGAGUUCUAGAGUGGAACUCUUAAGACCAGUAUCUUUGGGCUCUACCACCAUUUUCAAACCAUUCCUUGUUUGGGCUUUAACAAUUUUCACUUUUAGAAAAACUACCUAAACCUCCUAAUCCUUAAAUUUUUUCAUCUGGAGCUCCAACCAGCCCCUACUUAUUUCAAGAAGAUUGCGUAAAAGGAUAAAAAUGAGAGAACAUAUGCUGAGGUGCUUUUGAAAACCAUAGAUCAAUUUAUUUGAUUAAUCUAUUACAUAAAAUGCCCCCUGUUUAAUUCUGCUAAUUUAAAGUAGCCUAAAGCACAACACUGAAGUGAGGACUUAGAAAUGAUGGAACCAGUUUCCCCAUUUUAUAUGAAAAGAAAAAUAAGCCAAGGUCUAAUCAUUCUUUUGGAUAUAAAUUUCAACAGUGAGGUAGCUGCCUGGUAAAAAUGAAUAAUAUUCCAGCUCUAGUGUACAGGGUGUUUGGUGGCAGAGAAGUAUUUAAUAUGGAACUGCUGGAGCAAAUAACUAGUUAUCACUACAGCAGUUCUUUGUAAUCGCUGAGAAAGGAUACUCUUCUCUGAGAAGGAUGUCAAAAGAUUCGCCCAGCUCAGGGUGCUGUUUGCACUACUAGCUUCUUGGACAGCUGUAAGAAGUCUCUGGCUCUUUAGAAUACUGGAUGAAUUCUGAGCUGGUACCCCCACUCAAGAGGAAGGAUGGAUCGAUUUUAGGUGGAUUGAAGCCUGCCCUAGACAGCAUCCAAAGUUCUUCUGUGAUACUGCCAGUGCUUGCCAUUACAGGACCUUAAGGAGACAACAGGCUAGAGAGGAGAGACAGGAGACACCUGUAUCUAAUGCUUCAGGACAUUCUGAGCAUGUGAGACCUGAGGAACUGCAAGCAGCUUUAAGAAGCUCUACAUUCAACAGGUCUUUCCUUUUGAGAAUCUGGAUAAGCUCCAAACAAUCUAAGAGGAUGGCUUGCCGGCUCCCUGGAGAAAAAGAUCUUCCUCAGAAGAAUAGGCUUGUUGCUUUACAGUGUUAAUGACCCAUUCCCUUUGACGAUCCCUAGGUGGAGAUGGGGCAUGAGGAUCCUCCAAGGGAAAAACUCACUAUCACUGAGCAACAACCCUAGGCCAGGAGGUUCUACCAAGAUUCUUUCCUGGGCCCAGUUAGGAGGAUGAAAUCUCAAGACAACCACCACACAUCCAGAGGAGAACAUGGACAACAACUGCCACAUCUGUGACAUUGAUCAUGGGCAGAUCAUCAUUCUGGACCCUCUGGUCUCCAAAGUCUCCCUUGAGGCCCUGUUGGAGAACUUUGCCAAUCAUUUACGUACUUCAAGAUGCCUUGGGAUAGCUGUUGGACAAAACAAAAAACAAGCUGUUUGAGAAGAUAAAACAGAGCUGUGUCUUUUUAUGCUGUGCCUGCUAAUUGACAGAAACUUCACAACUAUGAGUGGGAAUGUGACUAGAAGUGGCACAAAGUUAUCUAUCGUCAGGCUGGAUCUAAAGAACUAGCACCCUGCGUAUUCUAGCUCCUGAUUGUUCCCUUCAUAUCUGUCCAAUCAUUAUCUUUCCCAGAAGCAGUGCAAAGAGCAAGACAUUUGAACACACCAAAGGAAGAUCAACAUGCCUGGCACUCUAGAAUUUUAGAAUAGCAGAAUGAAUGUGUCUUUGUUUGCUUAUCUAUUUCUUCCUUGAAUGUCUUUGGUCUUUCUCCUCUAACUAAAGUGUGUCUUACCCAUUUCCAUGAUUCUCUUACUAGUUUCUUCUCUGUAUAUCUUUGUCUCAUUUUCUUUCUUGUACCGAAGAGUGGUCUGUGUCUUGUCUUAGAUGUCUCUCUCUAGUUUUUUCAUUUUGUUACUGAUUCUCCUUGCUCUCCUAGAUCUGGCUCUUCUUUCACUGCUCGUCUCUUUGUGUCUCUUGAGUCACAUGCUGUGUGCCUUUUGCUCAUUUCUUGCUAUGCCUACCUCUCUUCUUUUUCUCUUUGUGAACUGUUUGUCACCCCCUCCCCUUGAUGGUUUGACAUUUCACCUUUUCUGAUACUGGCCACCCUUCUGCUGUUUCUACUCUUUAUCUUGCAUUGCUCUUUUCUACAUAUUCUUUCUGCCUCUCUUGGGCCAUUUUCUCUUUUUUUCCUGCUUUGUGUGCCCCAGUGUCUCUUUGUUCUUUGUGAUUUUCCAUGUCAGCAUUCACCUCUGUGUUCUCUUAUUUCUUCUCUGCUUUUGCCUUUCUACUUACCUUUGAGUAUUUCAGUCUCUUCUUGAGUCUGUGUCUCCCCCACUUUGAUUUCAUGCAGUCCUCUCUCCUUGCAUAUUUUUUGUGCAUGUGUGUGUGCAUGCUUUUGUGUGUGUGUGUGUUUGUAACAAAGGGGUCUCCUAACCCCUUCCUAAUAGGUGCAGAGUGUCAGCUAUCAAAAUAUAAGCAUUGAAGAGCUGUUCCUUAUGCCAGGCCGCCUGUGAGAUGAUCCAAGACCAAUAAAAGGCCCAAAGGUCUAGACUGGAGUUGGACGGAAGACUCAAGUCUCGGUGAGACAGAAGGCCAAAGACCCAGGAUGGGAUGAAAAGCCUUCGCUUGAAGACCUAUGACCCAAAAAUGGAAGGGCCCAAGCACACAUAAAGACCCAGAACUCAAGCCUGUCUAUACAGACAGAAGGCCCAAGAGAGACAGAUAUCUCCAGACUAAAUUAGGCGGGAAGCUGGAGGCCCAUGACCCAGAAUCCAGGAAGGAUAGAAGCCCCAAGACCAAAGGAAAUUCCAAGAUGAGAACCCUAAACCGCAGCUCUUUUCUAUUGUUCUCCUCCCUACUCUUGGACAUUUUCAGUUCUCCCUUUCCUGUUCUCAUAUCUCCAUUUAAACCCACUUCUUUUGAGAUGUCAUUUUUGAUGUUGCUGCUACUUUAAAGAAACACACCUUUAGAUCAGUAAUAUUAUGCCUGGGCCAGUCUUAAGCCAGUUUUUAUCGCACUUUUAAGCCAUUUAUUAAGGUUUUGGUGUUUUGCAAAGUUCCAUUUCUCUUCACCUCCUCUCCACUUGAGAGGGACACAUAGGUGACUUUAUAUUUCAGUCCCCUCUUUCCUCAGAAGCUCUAGGCUGAUGAGAGAAGUAAAGCAUCAGGUUACUGAGUGGAAAAAAAGUGCCAGGCUAUCUAGAGAAAAUGUGAAGAGAUGCUCCAGGCCAAUGAGAAGAACUAGACAAGAAAUACACAGAUGUGCCAGCUUGCUGAGAAGUGCCAGCUUGCUGAGAAGCACCAGCCAGCAACAUAUUACUUCUUUGAGCUUGGGUGAGCAGGAUUCCUGAGGUUUGGGGUUCCUACUGAUAGUUAUGAAAAAGGAGGAUUGGGCCUGGGAAAGAGUGAGGCCCCAAGGAAGCAGCCUGAACUCCCUGCUCAUAGUAGUGGCCUAAUAAUGUGGUAAACUGUACCAAUCCUGCCCCUGUGUUUAAUACCUACCUCUAGGCAUAAAGAUGAGAGAAGGUGGGAAUAUUUAGGAGGUUUAAUCGCUUCCUUGAUAUUUUUCCUCUUACCAUGAGGAAAGAUAAUUUUAAUGAUUGAGAUUAUAUAUGAAAGCACUGUAAAACACAGAAAAAAAGCAAGGCAUUCUCAUUAAUGGUGUAUUGGCAUCCAUGCACAGCUAACAUUUGAAAAUGAACUGCCAGUUGUGAAGCAUUAUGUAAAUCGGGGUCAUCACACCCUUUCUGAAAGGGUCGGAUGGUAAAUAUUGUAGGUUUUACGGGCCAUUUGGUCUCUGUUGCUUUUUUUAAAAAAAGCAAGUGAAUUUGGUCUGUGGGCCACAGUUUAUCACCCCUGAUGUAAUUGCCAGGGACUGUGUGCUGAACAAUAUUAAUUUCCUUCUGUGUGCCUGUCCCUGUGUUAGACACUAAAGAUGCAAUGACUAUGAUUAUAUCUAGGUGAUCUGAAGAAAAAUAUGUGAAUGUGAGUUGUAAACUAUAAAGCACUUUAAAGACUUACAAGUUUCAGAGUUGAUGAAUGAACAUUGAUUACAUAGUAUAUACAUUCUAGGCACUGUAGAUACAAGGAAUAAAAGAAGCAUGAAUAAAGUGCUUUGUCAAAAGUAUGUAAUACUGUACAGAUAUUAGGAAUUAAGUGUUUGAUAAAUGAAUAAUUCAUGUAUUUCUGGCCAUUGUGUUUCUGUGGCUAUGGUGAUUUUGAGUAAAAAUACAGUAUUCCAAGUCGCAGAAGAGAAAACAUAAAAACUGCUUUUAAACUAUAAAAUACACUGGAAAUACAAGGGAUUUAAGCUAUUGUGAUCACUUAUAAUGUGCCAGAUACCAUGCUAGGCACUACAGAUGUCAAAGGGAAAAAAAUGUUCUCAUUAUAGAACAAUUAAAAUUUUUAGAUAGGCAAUACAUAUUAAAGUGCUUUGUACUAAAGCACUGUAUAAAUACCAAUGGGCUAUAUGUUUAUAAUGAAUGAAUAAGUAUUAAGUGCCUUAUAUGUACCAGCUAUUGUUUCAGGUACUAUGAAAUCCAAGAUAAUGCUCCCAAGUAAUAAGAGGGAGGUUUAUGUCCUAUACUAUUUGGAUGUAAAAAUUAGAUCUUGCUUAUUUUAAUCAAUAAAGACUUUACUGGUGAUAUCAAAUUAAAUUAUUACCAGUAUAUUUUCCCUGGUAGCAGGAAAAUGUAAUGAAUGAGAUUGAGCUUUCUAACUAUAACGUGCUGUAUAAAUAUAAGACAUUAGAUGUUUUCUAUGUGAACAAACUUAUGUGAGACAGGCAUGGUCUCUACAAAAUUCUCAUUGUGUGCUUGACCCAUAUGAGAAAGGUGGUAUAAAUAGUUAUACAAACUGAGGGUUUAAAUGCUUGUUAAAUGAAUGGAUUAUUAAUAUCAGUUGCCUACUAUGUGAACUCACCGUUAUAGGCAUAAAGAGAUAUACAAAUUUAUCAUUUUAUUGUGCCUAAAGCUGAGAAUAAGGCAAUGUUAGCAUUUUGUGGACUCUAAAGCACCAUAUAAAUGUAACUAUUGAUUUUUUCAUUUGGUGUGCCUAGUACUAGGUUUACAAAAUUAUAUCACAGUUACUAUACCAUGAAAAAAAGUCAAAAAAUUUGAGGAAGGAUUGUUAACUAUUGAACAUUUUUAUAUGUAAAGGAUUAGAUAUCUGAUGAAUGCAAGACUGGAUAAUAAUUAUCUAUUAUGUGCCAGUCUCCUUGAUAAGCAUCAGGGAUGUGAAGAUAGUCCAUCUUUCUUGUGUUCUGGGCAGCAGAAGGUAAUGUAUAAAAUCAAUUUGUAAGUCUUAAACUGGCAUAUAUAAAUAUAUAAGCCAUAUCUGCUGAAUGGACAUUGAUUACUUACUCUCUCUUAUUCCCAGAGAUAGCAACUGGGGAUGCAAAAAUUCAUCGUCAUUAUUAUUGAACCUGCAACAGAGAUCUGUGUGUAAAUUUUACAAAGCCUACUGUUCUAUACAGAUAUAAGGAAUUAACUGUUGGCUUAAUGAAUGAUUACUGAUUCCUUUCUAUGAGGCUCAGAACUGCACAUGCACUAGGAUAUAAAAAUGAUGUUAUCCUUAUCAGAUGGUCACAGGAGGAAAUGAGGUAACAGGUGUGGGAAUCCAGAUUGAAAGUUACUUAACCACUGCCAAGCCUAUUUGAUGAAAUUUAAAAACAUGGGCAAAAUGGAAUUGUGCAAGGCAGUAUGCUGAAUGCUGAGCUAGGUGGAAAGAUAAAAUCUAUACCAGAAGGCUACUUGCUCCCUGGCCUGACCAAAGAAAUGGGAAUUUUUUUUUUUAAAGCAAGGUGUUAUGGUUCUCCAUUGGUCUUUUAAAUGCUGAAGAUGGAGGUGAAUUAGAUCCACCCUGGCCUGGCUUAGAGACAUUAAAGGAGUAAAAAAUGGCUCAGGUUGGCUUUUAGAUUAAUUUGAUUAACAGAGCAUCUUUUAUGUGGAAUACAUCAUUCUAGGUCCUGAACAUAACAGAAUUGAAAUGGGCCUAGUCUAAAGGGCAUUAGAUAGAUCACAGAUCAUAGCUGAAGAUCCAGAAACACCUUUGAUUUUUGAGUAAAUACUUGAGUUCCUGUUCUCUGGAUGAAUUAGUAGAUUAAGUCUGGUCCAGAAAACCUAUUGACUUGUCUUGGAAUUGAAAAAAUAGGAAAAAAAAAAAAAGAUAUGGUUCUUUCAAUAUAAAAUGAAGACAUUUUUCCUGGCUCUAGAAAGUCCCAAUGUCACUUGCUCAUUGACCUAGCUUGAAGCCAGAAGACUGAUAAAAGGCCUUAGGGUUUGUCCUUUAAUUCUUUAACAUUCUGCUUUUAUUAUAGUUAAAUUAAGAUGAGAAUUAAGAUGAAACAACUAGUUUUAAAAGUAUUUGCUCAUUGGCUUCAUAAGUCAGGAAGCCACUUAACAAAAAAGAUUCUUCCUAAAUUUUCCAUAUUUUGUAAAUUAUUCACUUGAAUGAAAUACUGUUCUGCUGAGGAGAAUGAAGAGAUUUAAAAGACCUAGACCAAAAUACACUUUAAUCUAACUAGCUUAUGGAGGAAACACAAGAGCAAAUUUAAUAAGAGACUGCAGUUCUUUCAUUAGUUGAAAAAACUUCAUUGAGCAGUUGUGAUAUUAAGACACUGAGAUGGAAUGAUUAAUUAGAUCACCUUCUCUUUGGCAUGUUUUGUAGAGUAGGAAUAAGAGAGCUUUUUAGUUAUUCAUUCACACAAACAUUGAAGAAGGUGAUGCUAAAUGAAAUUGAUCUGGUACAAAAUGCACUUGGAGAUGCAAUUAAAAAAAACAAGAAAUUGAGUGAAACUCUUCAUUGAAUAGAAGUGUCUAUUCUAUUUCAGAUCUUGACUGAAAGACACUUGCUUGGCUUGGAAAUUGGAAUAUAAGAGGAGAGGUUACUGUUUAUUCAUUUUUUUCAUUUAUUCAUUCACUCUACAAGUAUGUUUGAGUGCCUAUUGUGUAUAAGCUCCUUAGCUAGGUUCUCAGUUGGCCCCAGAGACAUGAAAAAAUGAAUACCUUCCCAGAGAACUUUUAAAACUUGCCUCUUGGUCUGUUUUCUGGUUAGGGGUAUGGCUUAGUUCCUCAAUAAUAAUGUGUGGUUUAAUUCCUACUCCAUAUUUCUUCUACCACUCUGGCCACUACAAUAAGCAAGGGUUUCUACUGAGCUUGCUCCUUAAGUUGCAGGAACCUUCCUUAUAAUAAACACUUCAGUUUUCCUAACCCAUCCCUCAUGAAAAAUGGCUGUGACUGUUGGUGGGCAGAAAGAGGGAUGAAAAACAACUGAUUCCCAAACCUCAGUCUCAUUGGUACAAACCUCAGUCUCAUUGGUACCAGCCUUGGGGAACCACUCAUACUUAAGCCACAAUUGGUUUUGAAACAACACAGGUUUUGUCUAUUUUCAAUUCUUUACCUUUUACAUUCUAACAAAUAUACACUGCCUAAACAGAUCUCUUUAAAAAACAAUCCUCUGGUAGUACUUAGCAAGUUUGGAGAUGGAGACAUGAUUUCUGUUUUGCAACAGCUUCUCAACUUACAACUUAGAAAUCGUUUCCUUUUUACCAGCAAAACCUGAUUAAGAAAAGACUUAUUAUAAUUAAAUAAUGCAGUGAAUGAAAAUAGCUUAACAAUUUACCAUGCUUAAGUUUUAAGAAUGAUAAAAAUUGGAAGUAAUUGGCAAAAAUUGGACGGAAAAAUUACCAAAAAAAUCUUCUAUAUCUAGGCCCAAAUGGGUUUUGGCCUUUUCUGUUUUUUAAAUCACUCACAGAGGGUGGGAUAGGAGGAAGAGUGAAAGAAAAGGUCAAACCUGAUUCUAAAAAGGGUUGGCCUUAAAAGCAUUACUACCUCUGAAUCUAACUUGGGGAUUGCUGUUUUUAGUUUAAUGCAAUUCCAGUAACUGGUCACUGUUGAGAUGAGGACAAAGUCCUUUGUCCCCACUCAUUUCUGUAAGUUUUUGAGAAACAAUUUUUUGUUUAAUGGUUAUUGAUUAAGCCUUGGGUUAGAUAAUUAUGGAAUUUAUUAAUUAAAUCUAUGUUACCUCUCCAUCAUAAGGUAGUCUUAAAGCUAAAGUCAAAAUUCACUGCAGAGGAACAGGACUUUAUUCACUAUAAUUCUUACAUACUUUCAAACCAUCUAAACUUUAGUUUACAUGGCAAGCCAACAAUAACAUAAGUAAAUGGAGAAGGAAAUAGAUGAAUGGCAAAAGAUAGUUGCUGGAGGGAGCAAAUUUGAAGAGGAUUUGAAGGUGAUGUUUCUAGUUUUUGCUUUGCACAUUUUAAUUUAAUCAUCAGGUAUAUCUGACAUGUUAAUAAUGUUUGGUGUUUAAUAUGUGCUAUUAGCUGGAUUCAGUAACUCCCCUUUCUUCAGAUGGGGGUGGGGGGUGCAUUAUUGGAAAGUAGAAAGGAGAAAGUAACUAAGAGCCUUCCUUUCACAGUUUCUGGCAUCCCAAGACUACCACUACUGCUAAACAAGAAUAAGAGAACAUGUUAUCAUCUGAUUUUUGUGGCAUAAAUGAAGUUGUGAAAAAAUCUUUUUUUACAAAGGAAAUGGCUUCAUCUUUAUCCUUCUACCUCAAAGGGAAUCUAUGCCAAAAUGCUCCGAUGAAUGGAAGGCACACUUGGACUUGUGAACUGAAGUGAAACGCAGAAUCUCUGAGCCAUGGCUGUUUUGAAGAUCGAAAAGUCUUGUUCAGCAUGGGUGACCAGCAAAAAAGCAAUCUAGAGCUGUCUGUAUGUCACAACUGAGACAAAUUGGGGAGUUUGUUGUUUAAUGCCAAAUAAAAAUGUACUGUUUUGAAAA